rnacentral:tRNA from 1 species
UCCCUGGUGGCUCAAGACGGUAAAGCAUCUGCCUGCAAUGCAGGAGACCUGGGUUCGAUCCCUGGGUUGGGAA